rnacentral:tRNA from 1 species
GGAAGGGUGGCAGAGUGGUCGAAUGCAACGGUUUUGAAAACCGUCGUAGGGCAACUUACCGAGGGUUCGAAUCCCUCCCCUUCCG